rnacentral:rRNA from 1 species
UAGGGAAUCUUCGGCAAUGGACGAAAGUCUGACCGAGCAACGCCGCGUGAGUGAAGAAGGCUUUCGGAUCGUAAAACUCUGUUGUUAGAGAAGAACAAGGACGUUAGUAACUGAACGUCCCCUGACGGUAUCUAACCAGAAAGCCACGGCUAACUACGUGCCAGCAGCCGCGGUAAUACAUAGGUGGCAAGCGUUGUCCGGAUUUAUUGGGCGUAAAGCGAGCGCAGGCGGUUUCUUAAGUCUGAUGUGAAAGCCCCCGGCUCAACCGGGGAGGGUCAUUGGAAACUGGGAGACUUGAGUGCAGAAGAGGAGAGUGGAAUUCCAUGUGUAGCGGUGAAAUGCGUAGAUAUAUGGAGGAACACCAGUGGCGAAGGCGGCUCUCUGGUCUGUAACUGACGCUGAGGCUCGAAAGCGUGGGGAGCAAACAGG